UAUUUUACUGUCGAAAAAAGGAAUCAAUUAAUUAACACCU
rfam:Loxodonta africana unplaced genomic scaffold scaffold_2, whole genome shotgun sequence.